rnacentral:rRNA from 1 species
AUUGAACGCCGGCGGCAUGCCUUACACAUGCAAGUCGAACGGCAGCACGGGAGCAAUCCUGGUGGCGAGUGGCGAACGGGUGAGUAAAGUAUCGGAACGUGCCCAGUCGUGGGGGAUAACGUAGCGAAAGUUACGCUAAUACCGCAUACGAUCUAUGGAUGAAAGCGGGGGAUCGCAAGACCUCGCGCGAUUGGAGCGGCCGAUAUCAGAUUAGGUAGUUGGGGGGGUAAAGGCUCACCAAGCCGACGAUCUGUAGCUGGUCUGAGAGGACGACCAGCCACACUGGGACUGAGACACGGCCCAGACUCCUACGGGAGGCAGCAGUGGGGAAUUUUGGACAAUGGGCGCAAGCCUGAUCCAGCCAUGCCGCGUGCAGGAUGAAGGCCUUCGGGUUGUAAACUGCUUUUGUACGGAACGAAACGGCGAGCUCUAAUACAGUUUGCUAAUGACGGUACCGUAAGAAUAAGCACCGGCUAACUACGUGCCAGCAGCCGCCGUAA